rnacentral:hammerhead_ribozyme from 1 species
AUCCAGCUGAUGAGUCCCGAAUGUGACGAAACGCGCGUCCUGGAU